rnacentral:lncRNA from 1 species
CUCACAGGUGCUGAUUGAUGCCCCACGCCCCCCUGCAAUGUAUGACGUCAGGCCGUGCCCCGCCUUGGACACACGUCGUUGGACCUCCUGGGGCUGUCUCGGCGCAUCCCUAACCUUGGGAACUUCCUAGAACUUUCUAACUGGGCUGGGCUCUGACGCAGGGCAAAUGGGACACAGAUCAACUCAGGAAGACAAAGGCAGCCCCUGCAGGCAGUGGUGGGGUGCAAAUGCUGCCGGCCCAGCGCCUCUCCCCACCCACACGGCGCCAGGACGAAACCCUGAUGUGGCCGGGGCUCCGGCGAGGGCUUUCCGGGCCGACGGUGUGAACUGCACAGGUCAGCGUGGGUUUGCUGGCACUCCCAGGCAGGCGGCUUAAACAGCGGGAGCUCAUUCCCUCCGGUGCUGGGGGCAAGGUGUCUCGCAGCGCUGGUUACCCGAGGCCUCUCUCCUUGGCGCGAAGAUGACGUAUUCCGUGUCCUCACGUGGUGGUCCUGUGUGCUGCGUCCUCGUCUCCCCUUCUCAUGAGGACGCUGGUCACACUGGGUCAGGGCCUCGCUUUACCUUGACAAUCUCUACAGCUCCACGCCCAAGUGCAGCCACACCCUGAGGUCCUGAGGGUCACAGGGUCACAGCUCCAGCAUGAGGAUUUGCCGGGACAGAGUUCAGCCUGUACUGAGCCGAACAGAAAAUCCCCGGCACGCUGUCUCCUCCAGCCUCCAGACCACGGUGGGUGGGGAGGCAACAUUUUACCUCUUGGGGUUUUUUGGUCGGGCCUGAUAAUUAAAAUCAGCAGAUGAGCUGGAGAAAGGCACACGCACUCCAGCACGGUCUGUGUGGCCGGGAAUGGCCUUUCCUUCCUGAAAGAGGAGGUAACACCCCACGGGGAAGACGCUCUCCAGAGCCAGAAGAAAGCAGCGUUCUUAUCCUUGUGGAUGGCUGUUUCAGCUCAAAACAACCCUUACAACAGUGUGGCUUAUUUGGGCAGCCCCUUCUGCCCCUUGACAGGCACCUCGCGAGCCGGCGCACCCCCCCGCCCCCAGGACCCGCUUCCCGCACCCGGGGCUCCUCAGCCAGGGGGAAGCAGGUGUGACCCCCAGGCUGCAGGCUCCCCUCCUUCUGAUCUCUUCUUUUGAAGAGCCCACAGCCUCUCAGCACCCAGGAGGCCUCAGCUCUCUGGGCAAGUGGUGGGUGCAGGGUGGGGGCCUUGGCCUCACACACGCUCUGGCACUGCCUGGCCUCCUGGGACGGUUCCUCAGAGGCACCUGCUUUGGACACUCUGAUGUCGGGAGCCCCGCGGAUGCUGCCAGGAUGGGAGAGGAGGCCGCUGUCUCUCUCCAACAAGUGCUGGGUCGUCUGGAGCAACAAGGGCAAAUGGGCGUCACUGGGGUCUCCACAAAGCCACCUGCAGUCUCUUGGUGGGUGUAUUAGACAGUUUCCAU